rfam:Triticum aestivum genome assembly, contig: Triticum_aestivum_CS42_TGACv1_scaffold_129950_2BL
UAAAUACUCCCACGGUCAAAAAAUACUUGUCAUCAAAAUGGAUAAAAAGAGAUGUAUCUAAAACUAAAAUACGUCUAGAUAUAUUUCCUUUUAUCCAUUUUGAUGACAAGUAUUUCCGGACGGAGGGAGUAUUUG